UGGGGAAUGGUGUAAUGGUAACACUCCGGUUUUUGGUACCGUCAUUCUAGGUUCGAGUCCUAGUUCCCCAGCCA
rnacentral:tRNA from 49 species